ensembl:lncRNA
GUAAGAUUUUUAAAAUAUUUUGAAGUAAAUUAUUUUAUUUGUAAAAAGAAGUAUUAGCAUUAAAAUUGGGAAGCACCAAAUGCAAACACUUUGUGGAGAAAAAAUGAGAAACACCUGCCUCCUUCAUGCCCCACCGUUCCCAAGAACAUUUAAAUGGGGGAGGUAAGACUACACCGUAGCAUUUGAAAAAAAUAAAAUCAGCAAAUAAUGUCGGAGAUACAUGAAGUCUCCUUUGGCUUUUAGGGCAUCAAGAUUCAACUUCUCACCUAACUAGAAGUUAUCUUCCUACUACUCCACAUAUAGAAGAGAGGGUCGUUUAAUACAAACACAAAUACACAUGUGCACACACACACACACGCGCAAAUAGGCCCUUGUAGCUAAUUGUCCACGCAAAUGGAACCAGGAAAAUGUUCGAUGUGACUGACUUCAAGGAGUCAGCCUUCAGAGCAGCCGAGUCAGGAGUGGUUUAUCUAAUUUAAUGGACUUACACUGAGUUCUAUUCUACUUUAAUCCUAGAGAAAUAUUUCUUAAACAACACCUGCAUAAAAUGUAGAUUUCUAAACCUCCUCCUCAGAAACUCAGCUUAAGAAGGCCUGGAGUCAAGGCUUAGGAACCUGCAUGGUUAAUAAAUACCCCCAGGUGGUUCAGGAUCUCACAACGCCCAGGUCCCUGCAGAGCUGUCUUUCUGGCUCUCUCGAUUCCCCACUGCCCUUCCCAGUUCCAAGCUCCCAUUUGCAUUAGGCAUUUCCCUCUUCCCACAAUAUUCUACCUUCUCUGACAUAAGGACUCCAGGGAGUGCUCUGUGGGCCUUUCUCCCUCUUUCGCCAGGUACCGCAGCUGGAUAGGGGCAGGAUAAGUAGGGAGGGGAAAUCUUCAUACCCUAAGGAUGGAGGAGAGAAGGAGGCAACACCACGCUGUGGUCUGGCCUGGGAGUGUUCAAUCUUUGUGCAGCAAAGGUCAAUCUACUGCUAGUGAACAUUUUAUAUUUUAGUAAUCUCACUAUGCUGAAAGAAUCACUCUCUUCUAUCCUAGGCUAAGGGAUUAUUAAAAAGUUUUUCUGAAACUUUAAACAUUAUGGGUUUUAGGCUUCAGGAAGUGAUGGAAACCCCCAAAAUGUGUCCAUCUGAAGAAAGUCCUUUUCUUUCCUUAAUACAAACUACAGGAAAUAGAAGUUUAAAAAACUUCCAAGAUUUAUCUUCAUUUUAUCUUCUUUCUCUCUCCACCAACCAAGAUUCCCUACUUAUGAGGCACAUUCCCUCAAAGAAAUGGGUGGGAUGAGGUAGAGUGGUUUCUAAGAUUUUCAUAGUGAUCAAAAGAGGGUGCAUGUUACAGACUGAAUCUUUGUGUCCCCCUAAAAUUUGUAUGUUGAAAUCCUAACCCCUAAGGUGGUGGUAGUAAGAAAUGGGCCUUUGGGAAGUGAUUAGGUCAUGAGGGUGGAGGCAUCAAGAAUGGGAUUAGUGCCGUUACAAAAGAGACCCCAAAGAGCUCCCUUGCUCCUUCUGACUUGUGAGGACCCAGCAAAAGGACAACUGUCUAUAAACCACGAAGUGGGUCCUCACCAGAGCUCAACCAUCCCGGCCUCACUUGAACUUUAUCAUGCCAUUUAUUUCUGUCCUUCAUGGUUUAUGAUGAGAAAUAUGCUGUCAACCAAAUCUUUGUUUCCCUAGAGUGCUGUGGGACUACUGACCUCUUCAAGAUGCUAUCGCUCCCAUCACACUGUUCUCCAAAAGUUCGUAAGGUUGGAUGGUGGAGAGAAGGAAAUGUUCUCCUUGCUGCUCAAACCCCUGGUGGGCAACAGCAGUCCAGAGAUGAAGCUGCAAAUUCAAGAUUUUACUGAAUGUUCUGCUAUAAAGGAAGUCAGACAACAUAAAUACUAAUUUAAAUUGUUACCAAAUAUAAUUAUUCUUAAAGCUUACAUGUCAAGUUACAUCCUCAGAUUGCUUUAAAGACGUUUCCUGUCUACUGCUCAGUCUUCUUCCAAUUGGUUGGACCCCUUCCUCACACCAUAUACAAAAUUAAUUUGACAUGGACCAUAUACCUAAACAUAAAAGCUAAACUAUGAAGAUUUUGAAAGAAAAUACAUAGAAUAUCUUUGCAAACUUAGAACAAGCAAAGACUUCUUAAAGAUAACACAAGCAAUUCAAACUACUGAAGAAAAAAAAGAUAAAUUGGAUUUAUCAAAAUUAAACAUGUCUACUCAUCAGAAAAUAAUACUAUUUAGAAAAUUAAAAAUUCAAUAAACUGGGGAAAAUAUGUGCAAUACAGAUAUCUGACAAAGGAAUUUAUCUAAAAUUUGUAAAGAAUUCCUAUAACUGAUAACAAAAAGUCAAAUAACCCAAUUUUAAAUGAGCAAACCUUUAAUAGACAUUUCACAAA